rnacentral:lncRNA from 1 species
GGCCGAAAUUACAAACAAAAAAGAAGAUUAUUAUCUGGUUUGACUGUGAAACACUGAUUUCAGAUUUAUAUUGUACAUAUAUAUAACUUUGAAAAUGGGAAUAAAACAUCCUUCUUUAAACGUUUUAUCGAUUACCACUGUGCCUGUAGUGAUAUAAUUAUAAAUAGAUUUCAGAACGCGAACGUGAUAGAAAGCCUAUUUAUUAAAUUGUUUAAGACGAACGCCAGUAGGAAAUAAGAUGAGUAAACAAUGAUUAAUACCUUAGAUUUGCAUUAAGUUAGUUGCUUGAAUAUACAAAUAAUCCAACGAAG